rnacentral:lncRNA from 1 species
AAUUGGACAGGAAAUGUUUAAAAGGAGGAAAUGUUGUGGAUAGCCCUGGGGCUAAUUAUAUUUGAUGUUAAUUCUGUUCUCCUGUGAAAGGUUGAGAACAAGGAAUGAGUCAGCACUCAGGUGAUUUUCAGUAAACCUGCUCCCCACCUUAAUUUGUAAAAUAAAGGAGAGCUGAAGAUUGGGCAGAUAUAAGGGAAGGUGGAGAGAAGAAGAAAAUGGAAAGGGGAGAGGAUGCAGAGGAGGAGGAAGAAGAAAAGCAGAGCAGAAGCACAUGGCCCGGAGAAACUGCAAGUUCUAAGGGGUCUCAUAGAUGUGGAAGAUGAUAGUGUAGCGGUAGAUCUGCCCAGUCUAGGCACACAGCUUGUAUUCAUAUUAACUGAGUCAUGUUUUCAUUGCCAGGGCUUAUUUGGGUUGGAGAUUUACCACAACAGCUGCAGUCUGGUGCUUGGCUAUCUCAGGUGUUCUUCUUGUGGGAUUCACCCAAGUGGCCCCAUGCAAGCAUCAAUGGUCUCAGCUUCACUUCCACCUGAGCCCGUGGCCCUAGGCAAAGGACCGAGAGAACCGGAGGUCUCACCGCUACUAAGACAAGAGAAGUCUGCAAGGGUGACAAGAACUACUAAUGAUGAAAGAUGUCAGCAAGACUACAAGAAGGAAACACUAUCUGAGUCCAGGGGAAACACCACCCCAUGUCUAGCAUGGUAUACUGCUCCUUGGAGCUCCAUAGAAGACUCACAACCAUCUGUGAUGGGAUCCGAUGCCGAUGCCCUCUUCUGGUGUGUCUGAAGACAGCAACGGUGUACUCAUAUACAU